rnacentral:lncRNA from 1 species
UGGAAGUUGGAAUACAUUGGACUAGAUUUUUUCUUCAAGCCGCACAAGACACUGCACUUCUUCAAAGUAUGAUUCCUUCCUUCUCUCUUCCCUUCAGCCUUUAAAAGAAACUGUAGAAAAGGCUAUAGGUAGAAGUGAUAUGAGGGGUGUCGCGUAAAUCCGUGCAUACUUCGGAUCUCAUGGAUACCCGAAUAAAGAAAAAAAAAGAGUAUGAAAAAAAAAGAAAAUUAAAAAGAGAGAAGAAAAAGGAAUCGUUGAAAAAAUAGAAUGAUACCCUAGAAAAUUAGGGAGAUAUCGAUUACCUUAGAAGUGAGAAAAGGGAGAAGAAGUGAAAUCAAUCGAUGAAUGUCUUGGUUUGAGAAGAGUCCAUAUGCCAUUGAUCGAUAUUCCCUCGGUAAGAAUUCACCUUUACUUGUGUUAACUUAUGUAAAGAAAUGACAAUGGAGAGACUAGAGAUUCCUAAGGAUUGUGGGAUUAGAGUAAGGAAUGUUGAUGCUUCUCAUAGGAAAAGUACAUAAAGUAAGUUCUAGAGUCAAGGCGAUGAAGAGUGCAAAGAAGAGUUUUCUGCAGUCGAGUGAGUUCCCGCGUUUUCAAACUUCUUUCACAUGUUAAGUUUCUGAUUUGCUUGAGGGCAAGCAAAGGCUAAGUCUGGGAGAGUUGAUAUAUCAUGGUUUUUACGGGUUUUUGGCCAUGAUAUAAGUCUUAUUUAUAGAGCUUUUAUAGUGUUUUCGAGUCUUUUUGAGUCAUUUCAGGAUUAGGAGCUAUUUGGCAUGGAUUGGAGCUUUUUGGAGAAUUUGGGAGCAUUUGGAGAAGAUGUGCGAAGGAACAUACCAUGAGAGCAUAUUUGGUGUAAGUGUCGAACGUCACAACUUUGGGUGUCGAUCGACACCAAUAUCUGACGGCAAUUGAAUUUCACGCUUAAUUGAAGUUCAGAAGAUUAGCCGAUUCGGCCCAGAAGUUUCUCUUAUUUGCAAUUAAGCCCAGAUCGUGGUUAAGACAUAUAUAUUGAGUUUUUAG